CAUUGGUUGGUUAUCACUACGUCAUAAAUGAAGACGGCUUCAUAAGUCAUAAACGCGCCGUAUUAUGUGCUAAGUGAUUUGGAAAAAUAUAUCGUUCAACACGACAUUCUCUGCUAACUAAUCCUGUAACCAAGUACAGUAUGCAGCUGGUAGACAAAUAGAAUCAUUUGUUUUUAUAACAUAACUGGUAUGUAUAUGGUUAAGAAAGUUGUUUGAGUUAACAAAAUCGAUAGCCCUUAACUGGUAUGACCGGUAGAUGGCAGCUCAGCUAGUGAUAGAUAUUCAAUUUGGAUAACGUCAAAGGUACUUUUAAUCUUGUCUGAAUCAAAGUGGAUAGUUACAAGGCCAUAAGUACAAGUUCCCGGAUACUCACUUGGACGCCACCCAACCAGAUGAACAACCGAAGACACGAGCAGAAUUACCAUAAAAGUCAUUCCAGCCGUAACUACUGCGUCGCAGGAUAGCUUUUCUUAACUUGGAUGUGUGAUAUAUAGAGAAGCUCACAAUAAAAACAGCGAUCUGUGUAUGGUGGUAUAUUAUUCUAAAAAUAUAUACUCCAGGAUUAAUAAAUGAAAGAAUCAGAUUCUUUAUAAUUGCUAACUUGGAAACAUGAACACUGAAGUCAAGCACCCUCAUCUCACUAGGUCUUCCGACGUGACAACACUCAUCAAAAAGCCAACCUCUGUAUAGAUUCUUGGUAUUAAAAUUGAUAGAAAGAGCUUUGCAGGAACAGAUAUAUCCAUAGAUUACUUCGACUUCUUAAAAAAAUAAGUCACGCUGUAGGAAAUAUGUCUGUCCAUGAUGUUCAAACGUACAUUAGAAAACUUUGUUAUCGACAGCGAUAGACUGAAUUAAUGGGAUACACACUAUCUGGUUUCAUGUCUUCGAAUAUGUAAUUUCUUCGUAGACUGCUUUUCUCUCGGAAAGAUGGUCUACAUCAGACUUGGAUGUUAUUUCAAAAAUGAAGAUGCGAUACAGAAAAUAGAGUGUCGGAUAGAAGUAAGUAUCUACAUGCCAAUCACUUGCUGACUGAUAGCUGACAUGCAUGAAUAUCUAGCGAACAGAACAACGAAUAUUUGAGGCUCUGCAAGAAUCCUGAUGGAAUUAAAAGGUGACAGAUGAACUGAUGUGUAUUGACAAUUGAUGAAAACUAUGAAAAACUUUGAAAUGGAAUAAAUAUUAAAAAUUCA